UCCUCGCGAUCCCCUUUCUCUCACAUGCGCUUCCUCCCUCUCUCCCUGUGUGGCGCGGUGGCCCCUGCGCCCUCCAGUUCUCAACCCCUGAGCCCUCCACCUCCAUUCCUCAUCUGCUCGACUGCUCGCCCCCUCCUCCUCCGCACCCUCCAGCCGCCGCCGACACAGCCGCGCCGCGUACACAGCCCUGCGAACCCCCGCGCCGAUCGAGCCAACACCGUCCGAUUCCCUGCUGUAACGCCGCCGCCACCGCGUCGCGGGGUUCAGUGGCCAUCAGGACUCUCCAGAUUCGCAUCUGACAGCACGAGAGACCACCCCGGCGCCGCCCCCUCCGCGAAUUCCCUCGGAAUCUCGACUCGCGAUUCGGGGUUCGGUGAGCCUCUUUGCUCGAUCGGAUUCGUGCACGGCGACAAGAUCCAUCCCACUUCGAGCGCUUCUGGACUGCGCCGUGCGGAUCCCGGCGCCUGAUGCGGCAAGGCUCAUCUGUGCACAGGGUACGCUCGGAGACGCAGGAGGCUCUGCGACGGCGUGCUGGCGCGGAGGGUGCGGGCCGGCGCCGAGAUGAAGGGCACCUCGUCCAUCCCCGCAGCGGUCGCCAUCAUACCUUCGCCGGCGCGUCAAGGUCAUAUUGUUCCUCCUAUGGGGUUUAUGCUGUUGCAAGGUCAGUGCUGCUCUGUACAUCAACCCUGGAGAAUUGAGCUAAUGCUGCCCUUCCUUUACAACGGUGUUGCUAUGUCGUGUGGGUCAUGUUGAAACCUUUCUUUACAAUUUCGUUUUUGCUAAAUCUGGUUUUGAGCUGACAAUUAUGUUUAUUCUUCUUGUGCAAGGAGAUCAAGGCGAGGGCUAGAUGAUGGAUUUUGCAGCCUGCAGUUGUAUCCCCCACUUUGUAUGUGUAUGUACAAACAUGUGAAGAAAGUCAUGGUCAUAGGAUCUCCAAGUGCAGAUGACAUCAUUAACCAGUCUUCAUUUUCUGUGAUAGAUUUUGUGUUAUUUUGAUUUUCAUUAUGUUGCCACUUGCGUGUGAUUAUACGGUGCUUGUAAAAUCAAAUAUACACUGCUCCUAGACAUGUUUUGGAAUCAGAACAAUAUGAGAAGUUCUGGAGUA